rnacentral:rRNA from 1 species
CACGUAGGCACCAAGCGUUGUCCGGAUUUAUUGGGCGUAAAGAGCUCGUAGGCGGUUGAGUAAGUCGGGUGUGAAAACUCUGGGCUUAACCCAGAGCCGCCACCCGAUACUGCUCUGACUUGAGUUCGGUAGGGGAGCAGGGAAUUCCUAGUGUAGCGGUGAAAUGCGCAGAUAUCAGGAAGAACACCCGUGGCUAAGGCGGCUCUCUAGUACGGUACUGACGCUGAGACGCGAAAGCGUGGGGAGCGAACAGG